rnacentral:rRNA from 1 species
CAGUAGCCGCGGUAAUACAGAGGGUGCGAGCGUUAAUUGGAUUUACUGGGCGUAAAGCGUGCGUAGGCGGCUUUUUAAGUCGGAUGUGAAAUCCCUGAGCUUAACUUAGGAAUUGCAUUCGAUACUGGGAAGCUAGAGUAUGGGAGAGGAUGGUAGAAUUCCAGGUGUAGCGGUGAAAUGCGUAGAGACCUGGAGGAAUACCGAUGGCGAAGGCAGCCAUCUGGCCUAAUACUGACGCUGAGGUACGAAAGCAUGGGGAGCAAACAGGAUUAGAUACCCCUGUAGUCCCUGUCUCUUAUAC